rfam:Gossypium arboreum cultivar AKA8401 contig_1731_1, whole genome shotgun sequence.
UAUUAAAAAUUCUAUCUAUUUCUACUAUUAAAAAUUGAUGUGGCUAGCGGAAUAACCGAACAGUUACACAUGACGUGUCAUAUGUACCUCAUGCUGACAUUCAUAAACUAAUUUUUAACGGUACAAAAUAGAAUUUUUAACA